rnacentral:misc_RNA from 1 species
UGCAUGCAGAACAAACAGGCAAGAGGUAAGCAAUAGAACAGUGUAGUUCGUCGCCAUUUUGUUUAUUUUCACGUAAAAGAGAUUUGAGAGACGAUCAUCGAAGCAGAUCGUUCUGUCUUUGUUCGUGAAAACAUCAGCUGAGUGUCUCAAUAAUCAAAUUAAAAAACUGGAAGCAUUGAUAAAAAAAUUUGUUAGCACAGAGAAUCAUUGGCAGAGGUUGGAAAGAGUAUUAAGAUCGAAACAUAGUGGAGCUGAAGUUUGCAAGAAGUACGUAGGUUUCACGAUUAGUAGCGCGCCGGUCCCGCGGUGCGGAAACCGUUUCUCGGAUCGGUCGAGAAAGAGUGAGGGAGUACAGAGUGAAAAGUGUGAGCAAGAUAGAUACUACAGAAAUAAGAAAAGAAAUAGUUGUAGCGACAAAAGCAGGGACAACGUAGAAAUUACGAAGAUAUUGCACAAGGGUGGAAUAUAUGUUGUGGGCGUCCCCCGAAAAAGCGGGGGCAUUUGAUAGCCGCAGAAAUUGGGCUCAUCACAAGUAAAUAUCAAUCGUCGUCGUGUGGUAAAACGACGUCGCUCUCAAAUCGUAGUAGUGACGCGAGCCCGGUUACGAUUGGAAUUGAACAAGUACAAGAGCAAAAUUUGCUUGAGCAAAAAUCUUCCGUCCCUGACGAGAAUAAUCAGUUUAUCGAACGACAACAGUCAAUUUUUGCUCGCAACUCGUUCAUAGUUACACCAGUUAAAUUAACUUCAGAAGUAACCUCGACGGCGGAAGCCGCCUCCGAGGUUCCCGGCGCAAUCAAGACGACCAUCAAUAUCGGCAUUGCGAUGAACCACGUUAACGAUCAAGAAAAUCUUAAACAGCUCAACCUGGCACCAGUUCAGGUUAAUGAAGUUGAAGAAAUGGAUACACAAGAAGGAGAAACACCAAAUGAUGGUGGAGGAGAUGGCAAUGAUACUAGUCCUAUGAACGGAGAAUCAGAAUUAGCUUGUAUAGUUCAAGAUCAAGAAAUGGAGGAAGACGAAGCAAGAUCAGAAGCAACAUUUCGCUAUACAGUGGAAAAUCUUUCUAAAAUGAAAGAAACUCAGUUAUCACCUCCAUGUUAUGUUCGUAAUUUGCCAUGGAAGAUAAUGGUAAUGCCAAGAUCAAGUCAAACACAAGAUAGAGCUCCUCAAAAAUCACUUGGUUUCUUCUUGCAAUGUAAUGGAGAAAGUGAAUCAUCGUGGAGUUGUUAUGCAGUUGCAGAUCUUCGAUUACUUUCUUGUAAAGAAGGACAGGAACCAUUUAGUAGAAAGAUUCAACAUCUUUUCUAUAGUAAAGAAAAUGAUUGGGGAUUUAGUCAUUUUAUGACAUGGCAAGAUGUCUUGGAUCCUGAUAAAGGUUUUAUUAAAGAUGAUUCUAUUACACUUGAGGUUCAUGUCAUGGCUGAUGCUCCACAUGGUGUCAGUUGGGAUAGUAAAAAACAUACAGGAUUUGUAGGUUUAAAAAAUCAAGGUGCUACAUGCUAUAUGAAUUCUUUGCUUCAAACUUUGUAUUUUACUAAUCAGUUACGUAAAGCAGUCUACAAAAUGCCGACUGAAAGUGAUGACUCUAGCAAAAGUGUUGCUUUGGCUUUACAAAGGGUAUUUCAUGAAUUGCAAUUCUCUGAUAAACCAGUAGGUACAAAAAAAUUAACUAAAAGUUUUGGUUGGGAAACAUUGGAUUCUUUUAUGCAACAUGAUGUACAAGAAUUUUUACGAGUGCUUUUAGAUAAGUUGGAAAGUAAAAUGAAAGGUACAUGUGUAGAGGGUACAGUGCCAAAAUUAUUUGAAGGAAAAAUGGUGUCAUUUAUCAAGUGUAAAAAUAUUGAUUAUAAAUCAACUAGGGUUGAAACUUUCUAUGAUAUACAAUUAAAUAUUAAAAGGAAGAAAAAAUUUUAUGAGUCAUUUAAUGAUUAUGUGAGUACUGAAAGUCUGGAUGGUGAUAAUAAAUAUGAUGCUGGAGAAAAUGGUUUACAAGAGGCGGAAAAAGGUGUUAUCUUUUCAUCAUUUCCACCAGUAUUGCAUUUACAUUUAAUGCGAUUUCAAUAUGAUCCAGUUACAGAUUGUUCUGUGAAAUUUAAUGAUAGGUUUGAAUUUUAUGAAAAAAUAAGUCUUGGAAAAUAUUUACAAAGUAAAGAAACAACAAGUGCAGAUUACACAUUGCAUGCAGUCUUAGUUCAUAGUGGGGAUAAUCAUGGUGGACAUUAUGUUGUAUUUAUCAACCCUGCUGGUGAUGGAAAAUGGUGCAAAUUCGACGAUGAUGUCGUCUCAAGGUGUACAAAACAAGAAGCUAUUGAACACAAUUAUGGUGGUCAAGAUGAGGAUAUGUCUAUAGCUGUGAAACAUUGUACGAACGCCUAUAUGUUGGUGUACAUAAGGGAUUCUGAGUUGGAAAACGUCUUACAAGAAGUUAAGGAAGAGGAUAUACCUCAAGAGCUGGUGGAGAGGCUGCAAGAGGAGAAGAGGCUGGAACAAAUACGAAGAAAGGAAAGAACAGAAGCAUACUUGUAUAUAACCGUCAACGUCCUUCUUGAGGAUAAUUUUGACGGUCACCAAGGAAAUGACUUAUAUGAUCCAGAACAUGCUUUGUAUCGUGUAUUUCGCGUACGUAAGCAGUGUACCUUGCACGAGUUUCUCGAAUUGCUGAGUGAUAGCUUGAAAUAUCCAAUAGAGCAAAUUCGUCUAUGGCCACUGAAUGUACGUUCAAACCAAACUUGUAGACCAAUGCCAAUUGAAUUAGAAAAUGAUCUUCAAAAAUCUAUUUAUCAAUGCGCGGAGAAUCCGAAUGUUUGGAAUGUAUUUGUCGAACUCGUUCCUCCAGAUUCUGAUUUAACAGCGUUGCCACCUUUUGAUAAAGACACUGAUGUUCUCUUAUUUUUUAAAUUAUAUGAUCCUAAGAAUAAAAAGAUUCAUUACUGUGGACAUCACUAUAUGCCUGUCACAGCUAAAGUCCAGGAACUUAUACCAAUUUUAAAUGAGAGAGCUGGUUUUCCACCUGAUACGGAAUUAGCUCUUUAUGAAGAAAUUAAACCAAAUUUGGUAGAAAAAAUAGAUAAUCUAACAGAACCAUUAGAAAAAGUUCUUGAAGAAUUAAUGGAUGGAGAUAUUAUUGUUUUUCAAAAAGAAGGAGACAAUCAAAUGUAUGAGCUUCCAACAUGUAGAGAAUAUUUUAAAGAUCUAUUUCAUAGAGUAGAAGUUACAUUUUGUGAUAAAACGAUUCCUAAUGAUACUGGUUUUACAAUGGAACUUUCAUUAAGAAUGACAUAUGACCAAAUGGCAAGAGCUGUGGCACAGAGACUUGGUACAGAUCCUUAUCUUCUGCAGUUCUUUAAAUGUCAAACUUACAAAGAUUCACCUGGACAUCCAUUAAAAUGUACAUUUGAAGGUUCAUUGAAAGAUUUGGUUUCUUACUGUAAACCUAAAGCGAAAAAAUUAUAUUAUCAACAGCUUAGUAUUAGAGUAAAUGAACUUGAAAAUAAAAAGCAAUUCAAAUGUAUAUGGGUUGGUCCAUCUCUUAAAGAAGAAAAAGAAAUUAUUCUUUAUCCUAAUAAAAACGGAACAGUAGCAACAUUGCUUGAAGAAGCUAAAAAACAAGUAGAAUUAUCAGAAAAUGGAUCCGGGAAAUUAAGGAUAUUAGAAAUUAAUUCUAGUAAAGUCUCACCUGGUCCAAGAGAAGAUGUACCUUUAGAUAACUUAAAUACAUCUGGUACAAAAUUAUACAGGAUAGAAGAAAUUCCAAAUGAUGAAUUAAAUUUGGCAGAUGAUGAAAUGUUGGUUCCUGUUGCACAUUUUCAUAAGGAUAUUUUUUCAACAUUUGGUAUUCCCUUUUUCUUUAAAAUCAAACAUGGUGAGCCUUUUCCAAAAAUGAAGGAAAGACUACUGAAGAAAUUGGGAGUACAGGAAAAAGAAUUUGAAAAGUUUAAGUUCGCGGUGGUAACAAUGGGUAAACCACACUUUAUUAUGGAUUCGCCAGAAUAUUGCAUGGAUCUUGCAGAUUUUCGUAUUCAUCCAAAUCAAAUUUAUCCACUUUUAAAUGCAGGCACAUCGCCACUUAGGCCUUGGCUUGGCCUAGAACACGUCAACAAAGCGCCAAAGCGCUCUCGUAUCAACUACCUCGAAAAGGCCAUUAAAAUUUACAAUUAAAUUUUCAUCGUACGAAGAAGAAUAAAAUUAGGCAGCCAUUCAUAUAAUUUAUACGACUCUAUAGUAAGAAAGCAACGUCUGAUAUACGAUGGUUGGAAAUGCGUUUGUAUUCGGUUCUUCAGCCAGAUAGUACACAGUUUUAAUAUUAUGAUCAUGUUAACGAAAGGGAUUUUACGUAAUGGCUGGAUCGAUGGUACUACAUUGAUUCCACUAUGCUCCAACAAUGGAUUAGACACUUCUCUCUACAAAAUCAAUUUUUAUGUUUGUAAAUAUUUUGCUGAUCAAUGGCAAUUAUUUAACAAAUAUUUUUGAAAACACUGUUUUCAUUACAUUCGAGUUUAUCAAGAACAAGAAUUUAUUUAAAAGUAUAUUUUAUUACUAAAUAAAGAAAUACGGAUAACAACUGCAGAAUGAAGAAAACUCGUAUCAGGAAACAAAAAGGUAUUUAUAAAUAUAGCGAACUACUUCUGUACAGUACAUUUUUUCUCGAAAUUUUAGUUAUUUGAUCCUGCCACGUAAAAUCUUUGUAAUUGAAUAUAACAAGACCCAAAGAAAUACUAUGUACUGUUCUACGUGAUGUAAUAUUUAAUACCCAUAAUCAGAAAAAAAUUAUCUAUAUAUACUCUUGUUUUAUCAGGAUUAUAUCUAUUCAGGAUGUUUGAAAUGCAAACUUAUAAUUAAUGUUGUAAUCUUACAUUCUAUAUAUUUCUUUGCAAAAUAAUGAACAUUAAUUAAUAUUUUAUAUCAUUUCUUAAUGCAUUUUUAUAUAUAAAAUGUAAUUUAAUUAAAUUUUAAUUGUAGAAAGAUAUAAUUAAAUUAUAUGAUAUUUCAUAACAAAAUUAUUAUCACAAAAUAUCCACAAAAUAAUUUCUAAAUAAAAUUUCUAGAUUGUCUUCCAAACAUCCUGAAAUUUUUUGUUUGAAUAUUCUUUUUGUGUGUGUUUUAUGCGUAUUUCCUAUAUAUUUUAUUGAGAUUCUAUGAAAUUUUGCAAAUAUGUAAUAAUAGAUUAACAUUAAUAAUGAAGUAAUCUCAAUUAAAAUAUCAGAAAAAAAAAAAGAAAAAACACAUUAAAUAUAGUAAAUUCAUCACGAUUUGAGCAAACUAUAUGGAAUAUAUUGGAAGAUAAAAAUUAUUUAAAAAGAAGGGUCAUUUUACAAUUUCAUUAAUCAAGUUUUUUUUUGUUUUAUUAAUUAUUUCAUAGUUUUGUUCUUUUAUUUUUUAUUCACUCCAUACACUCUACGCGAUAACUUGCCACGAUAUUAUUACAAGAUUUCCUAUUAUUUAUGAAUCAUCUUUUAUUCAACAUUUUCUCCUGUCUGUAACUGUGAUUAAAGUCUUUCUUCAAGACGUUUUAAUUCAUGGCUCCACAAUACCUAAGAAUGUUAUUAAAUAUUGAGAGAAGAUGGAGCGAUUUAUUCAAUUUAUUUAAUAAUAAAUUUUUUUCUAAGAGUUUAGUUUAUUAUAGUUAUUUAAAAAAAGAAGAAAGAAUUUUAAAGUUCAAUACAAAACUCUUAAAAUAUAUCAAGUUGAUGAUUUUAAUUCAAGUUAAUUAGUUAGUCUAUUAGAAUAAUUGCUAUAAUACAAUUGGAACGAUAAUUUAUAUUGAUAUAUAAUUUAAAGAAAUGUAUUAAAUGUAGCUCUUAUGAAUAUGUUAUUAUUCUAAUGAUGCCACGUUUUUUAAAGCGCAUUUCAACAUCGACGAAUAAUUACUAUAAAUUGAUAAUAAAUAAGAAAUUUAUGCGAUGUGCAGUAAUAUUUACGAAGACUGGACAUGCUAGUUGUGAAGAUUGCAAUAUUUUGUAAACCCAAACGUGAUUGUACAGCUAGUUUGACUAACUACAGCCGUAAUUUUAAUCAUGUAUAUGCUUUCAUACGUUUCGUUGUAAACAUUCAACUUGCAGUUGAUUAUUUUUGUUCUUGAAAAUAAUUUUAAUAUAUAUCCUAUUAAAAAUUUAGAAUUUCUGUAAUUAUUUUAUUAUGUGGUUUUGAACAAACUCAAAUUUUCUUCGUUCUUUUUUUCUUCUUUUAACUCAUAAAAUUAUUAAUCAUGGAAAGAUAAAAAAAUAUUAAAGAAAUAUUAAAUAGUUUUUAGAAUUGAGAAAAUUAAUAAUUUCAUUUCUGUAACUAAAUUACGUAUGAAAAUCAUUAGUCUGAUUCUUUCUAAUGAUAAUUUUUACGAUUUGCUUUUCUAAUAAAAGCAAUGCAAAAGUUUCGAUCGAAGAAAUAGCGUAUAUAUAUACCUGGAAACUAUGAAAAUAUAAUUAUGUUUUAUUAUUCAUAUAUAUAUAUAUAUAUAUAUAUUUAUAUAUAUAAUUACAUAUGUAUAUUAAUUGUAUACAUAUACAUUUUAUUGUUACGUUCCUCGAUGAAUACUAACAGUAAUAAUGAUUUCGAAGUUGAAGAUAGAUGAAUAUCACUUAUGACAAUGUUAAUAGUAACUAUGUAUUUUUUGCACUAAAUCAUAUGAAAAUUAUAUUGGAAGAAAAUUAUUUAAGUUAUUGUAUUAUAAUAAAAAAAAAAAAAGAAAACAAAAAUAUAUCAGAUUUACAUAUAAUAAAUAAUCUACAAAAGAUGCACUUCUAAUAUGAUAUGAUGCUUGUAAUUAAUUGUAACGCAUUUCUGUUUUUGUACAGCUAAUAUUGUAGCAGCUGCUCAAUUGCGAUUGUAAAAUUUAUCAAUAAUUUUUCAAUAAUUUUUUUUUAAGUAAUAAAAAGCAGAAUAAACGAGACUACGGAAUGCGUAAACGAGAUAGUUGAUAAUAAAUAGAAUAAAAUGAAUGUUUUACGAUUUUAA